AGUGAACGCUGGCGGUAGGCCUAACACAUGCCAGUCGAACGGCAGCACAGUAAGAGCUUGCUCUUACGGGUGGCGAGUGGCGGACGGGUGAGGAAUACAUCGGAAUCUACUUUUUCGUGGGGGAUAACGUAGGGAAACUUACGCUAAUACCGCAUACGACCUACGGGUGAAAGCAGGGGAUCUUCGGACCUUGCGCGGAUGAAUGAGCCGCUGUCGGAUUAGCUAGUUGGCGGGGUAAAGGCCCACCAAGGCGACGAUCCGUAGCUGGUCUGAGAGGAUGAUCAGCCACACUGGAACUGAGACACGGUCCAGACUCCUACGGGAGGCAGCAGUGGGGAAUAUUGGACAAUGGGCGCAAGCCUGAUCCAGCCAUACCGCGUGGGUGAAGAAGGCCUUCGGGUUGUAAAGCCCUUUUGUUGGGAAAGAAAAGCAGCAGGUUAAUACCCCGCUGUUCUGACGGUACCCAAAGAAUAAGCACCGGCUAACUUCGUG
rnacentral:rRNA from 1 species